rnacentral:piRNA from 1 species
UGAGGCUCUACAAAGCAUCGUGUCCGAGC